AAACGACUCUCGGCAACGGAUAUCUCGGCUCUCGCAACGAUGAAGAACGCAGCGAAAUGCGAUACUUGGUGUGAAUUGCAGAAUCCCGUGAACCAUCGAGUCUUUGAACGCAAGUUGCGCCCCAAGCCGUUAGGCCGAGGGCACGUCUGCCUGGGUGUCACGC
rnacentral:rRNA from 1 species